rnacentral:rRNA from 1 species
UACGGGGGGAGCAAGCGUUGUUCGGAUUUACUGGGCGUAAAGGGCGCGUAGGCGGUCAGUGCAAGUCAGUUGUGAAAUCUCCGGGCUUAACUCGGAAAGGUCAACUGAUACUGCUCGACUAGAGUGCGGAAGGGGCAACUGGAAUUCUUGGUGUAGCGGUGAAAUGCGUAGAUAUCUGGAGGAACACCGGUGGCGAAGGCGGCAUCCUGGACCAAUUCUGACACUGAGGAGCGAAAGCCAGGGGAGCAAACGGG